UGCCAGACUCCUACGGGAGGCAGCAGUGGGGAAUAUUGCACAAUGGGCGAAAGCCUGAUGCAGCAACGCCGCGUGAAGGAAGACGGUUUUCGGAUUGUAAACUUCUUUUCUUAGUGAAGAAUAAUGACGGUAACUAAGGAGCAAGCCACAGCUAACUCCGUGCCAGCAGCCGCGGUAAUACGGAGGAUGCGAGCAUUAUCCGGAUUUAUUGGGUUUAAAGGGUGCGCAGGCGGCACGGCAAGCCGGCGGUCAAAUCGCGGGGCUCAACCCCGCCCAGCCGUCGGAACUGCCGGGCUAGAGUGGGCGAGAAGUGCGCGGAAUGCGUGGUGUAGCGGUGAAAUGCAUAGAUAUCACGCAGAACUCCGAUUGCGAAGGCAGCGCACCGGCGCCCUACUGACGCUCAGGCACGAAAGCGUGGGUAUCGAACAGGGUUAGAUACCCGCGUAC
rnacentral:rRNA from 1 species